rnacentral:rRNA from 1 species
UACGUAGGGUGCGAGCGUUGUCCGGAAUUAUUGGGCGUAAAGAGCUCGUAGGCGGUUUGUUGCGUCUAUCGUGAAAACCUGCAGCUUAACUGUGGGCUUGCGGUGGAUACGGGCAGACUUGAGUUCGGUAGGGGAGACUGGAAUUCCUGGUGUAGCGGUGAAAUGCGCAGAUAUCAGGAGGAACACCGGUGGCGAAGGCGGGUCUCUGGGCCGAGAUUGACGCUGAUGCGCGAAAGCCAGGGGAGCAAACGGG